GCAAGUCGAACGAACAAAGUUGGAGCUUGCUUCAGAGGCGUUAGUGGCAAACGGGUGAGUAACACGUGUGUAUCUACCCAUCAGUACGGAAUAACAUUUGGAAACAGGUGCUAAUACCGUAUAUUCGCUACGGAGGAAAGAUUUAUCGCUGAUGGAUGAGCACGCGUAAGAUUAGGUAGUUGGUAGGGUAAUGGCCUACCAAGCCGACGAUCUUUAGCUGGUCUGAGAGGAUGAUC
rnacentral:rRNA from 1 species